AUUGAACGCUGGCGGAAUGCUUUACACAUGCAAGUCGAACGGCAGCACGGACUUCGGUCUGGUGGCGAGUGGCGAACGGGUGAGUAAUGUAUCGGAACGUGCCCAGUCGUGGGGGAUAACGUAGUGAAAAUUACGCUAAUACCGCAUACGAUCUAUGGAUGAAAGCGGGGGAUCGCAAGACCUCGCGCGAUUGGAGCGGCCGAUAUCAGAUUAGGUAGUUGGUGGGGUAAAGGCCCACCAAGCCAACGAUCUGUAGCUGGUCUGAGAGGACGGACAGCCAGACUGGAACUGAGACACGGUCCAGACUCCUACGGGAGGCAGCAGUGGGGAAUUUUGGACAAUGGGCGAAAGCCUGAUCCAGCCAUUCCGCGUGCAGGAUGAAGGCCCUCGGGUUGUAAACUGCUUUUGUACAGAACGAAAAGGUUUCUACUAAUACUAGGAGCUCAUGACGGUACUGUAAGAAUAAGCACCGGCUAACUACGUGCCAGCAGCCGCCGUAA
rnacentral:rRNA from 1 species